CUUUCUCUGCACUUUUAUUAGUCUCACGCGAGCACACUCUUACACGACCAACUUCUCCACCUCACCGGCCAACGCAAGAACUCCGUCGUCCGGCUACUGUUUUGGACGGCCAAGCUACCAAGAAGCUUCUCCCGAACCCCACAAACAUAAUUCAACCAACCUCGCUUCAAAUCGUCACCUGUGGCCACUAGAAUCGAGCUUGGAAACUCGUGGCAAUCAGAAGGUAAAAGUGGUCGAUCCGGUCCACUCCGACCACCGUUCAGCUUGCUGUCACCACCAUUCAUCUCACCGGACUGAGGAGCACCUAGCCCAACCAAUUUUUGACCAAAGCAGCCCUCAGAUGCUGGAUCCGACCUUGCCGUGAAAUGGGUCACUUUGACCUGGCUCAAAUUCCACUUUUCGGCAACUCCAAAGCUCUAAUCUGACUAGUUUCGAUGCUCUGAACACAUUGGCGACGUUUUUGGAUCCAUACGGAUAGCUUUCGAGCAUCUUGGCAAUUACAUAGUAAAUACGCGUAUUCAUUCGGUAUAUGUGCAGGUGAUCGAGGAGAUUGGACUUGAUAUCGUAGACGGUUAAUUAUUGGAUGCAUUGUUAUCGAGACGAGACAAGAUCUAAUGCACAGACUAUGGAUCAGCAAUGGGAUGCGUGACAGAGGUGGCCUGGACUCUUGUGUGUUCCUUUGUGUUUAUGUGUUACAUAUGUGUGGUUGUAUAUAUUUGGACAUAUACGUAUAUUAUGAGAUUGUUUUAGAAUUUAUGUUGGAUGACCCGGAGGGUGUUCUAGAAUAUUGGGACUCCUGUGUAUGGGUAGCAUGGUUGUGGCAGUGGACCCUGAGGGUCUUGACUGGAUUGAUUCUGAUUGUUGUUCGAUGUUAUUAGAUUAGUAUGAACUGGUUGGGUUUUUUGUAUAUGUGAAGGAUGGCAUUCUCCAAUUUAUGGGGAGAUGCUGUCCAAUUUUCUGCUCGAGUUUCUCUCAACUCUAUUGGAGUGGUGUGGGAUUAAUAGUGUUGUGGUGUCAUUUGUCUUCUUCUUUUCUUCUCCUCACGCUCCGAUGGUCGGGGCGUGACAACUUGGUAUCGGAGCUUUAGGUUUGUGUCUUACGGACCUAGGGUUGUAGCCUUAUGUGUGUGAUGUCUCUAGGCCACGUCACGA